rnacentral:tRNA from 2 species
GCCGGGGUGAUGAAAUGGUAGACAUAGGAGACUUAAAAUCUCCAGGGCGCAAGCCCGUGUGGGUUCGAGUCCCACCCUCGGCACUA